UUAUUCCUUUAUUUAUUCAAAAGUGAAGAAAAAUUGGUGUACGUAGUUGGUGAAAGGAGGAGGAAAAAAAAAAACCCUUUUGGUUAGCUCUUGAAUAUCAACAAUUACAGCAAUGUCGGGUCUGAUGUGUGGAGAUCGAAUUUGAUGAGUUUUCACCAAAAUUUGGUUAAAAGGACGUUUUGGCGAGGUUGAUGAAUCUUACACGUUGAAGCAAGCUGAUAAGCAUGGCCUAACUUUUUGUUCCUCGAUCUCUUCAGUCUUCACGUGUCAUGGUAACGUAAGCAAAUUUCUUAAUAUUAGCGGUGUUCAUGGCUUUCCCGGUUUGGUUCUUUUUCAUGGCCAAGAUUUUACAAACAACAUCGUCCUUCAUGCCAGAUGAAAUCGAACAUCACGUGAUAUCUUCUGAGAUUCAUAACUACGCAUAAACACAACGAAAGGUCUUCGUUUGCUACGUCCAAUGUGGUAGCUAAGUUUUGGAGCUUUGGACGCAUCCCAACGUUUUAGAAUCUCCAAUAUUUGCUGGAGAAUUGAUUCCUAAACUACAUAGACACCGGAGAUCCAUCUCAUGUAAGGAGGUGUUGUGAAAUUAUUGUACCUAUGUUGUACAAAUAUCAUUUUUGUAUUUGUUGACUUGUUCUUUGUAAAGAUUGGAGCGGUUAAUAUAUGAGAUUUGAUUCUUGCACUACA